AUUGAACGCUGGCGGCAGGCUUAACACAUGCAAGUCGAGCGAGCGGCGGACGGGUGAGUAAUGUAUGGGGACUGCCCGUUAGAGGGGGAUAACUACUGGAAACGGUUGCUAAUACGGCAUACUGUCGGAUAACUCAUAUGGGAUUGGCUAGUGGGUGGGGUAAAGGCUCACCAAGGCGACGAUCGCUAGCUGGUCUGAGAGGAGGAUGGGCCACACUGGGACUGGGACAGGGCCAAACCUCCUACGGGGGGAGCAGUGGGGAAUAUUGGACAAUGGGGACAGGCCGAAUGCAGCCAUGCGGCGUGUAUGAAAAAGGCCUUAGGGUGGUAAAGUACUUUCAGCGGGGAGGCGUUACCCGCAGAAGAAGCACCGGCUAACUCCGUGCCAGCAGCCGCGGUAAUUC
rnacentral:rRNA from 1 species